AUACGUAGGUGGCGAGCGUUGUCCGGAAUUACUGGGCGUAAAGGGAGCGUAGGCGGAUUUUUAAGUGAGAUGUGAAAUACCCGAGCUUAACUUGGGAGCUGCAUUCCAAACUGGAUAUCUAGAGUGCAGGAGAGGAAAGUAGAAUUCCUAGUGUAGCGGUGAAAUGCGUAGAGAUUAGGAAGAAUACCAGUGGCGAAGGCGGCUUUCUGGACUGUAACUGACACUGAGGCACGAAAGCAUGGGUAGC
rnacentral:rRNA from 1 species